UACAGAGGUCUCAAGCGUUGUUCGGAUUCAUUGGGCGUAAAGGGCGCGUAGGCGGCGGGGUCAGUCGGGUGUGAAAUCUUGGGGCUUAACCCCGAAACGGCACUCGAAACUGCCCGGCUGGAGGGCCGGAGAGGAGAUCGGAAUUCACGGUGUAGCAGUGAAAUGCGUAGAUAUCGGGAGGAACACCAGUGGCGAAGGCGACUUCCUGGCCUGUUCUUGACGCUGAGGCGCGAAAGCUAGGGGAGCAAACGGG
rnacentral:rRNA from 1 species